rnacentral:ncRNA from 2 species
CUUAUAGUUGACGGGCUAGGUGCCCCGACAAGGGGAGAAUCGGGAAGCCGGUGCAAGACCGGCGCGGGCCCGCCGCUGUAAGGGGGACCGGACGGACACAGGCCACUGGGUGCUAUGCGCAUCCGGGAAGGCGUCCGGUCGGGAGGAACCCAAGCCAGAAGACCGGCCUGGUGACAUCGCACCCC